rnacentral:rRNA from 1 species
UACAGAGGGUGCGAGCGUUAAUCGGAAUUACUGGGCGUAAAGCGUGCGUAGACGGUUAUUUAAGUCGGAUGUGAAAGCCCCGGGCUCAACCUGGGAAUUGCAUUCGAGACUGAAUAGCUAGGGUGCGGUAGAGGGAAGCGGAAUUUCCGGUGUAGCGGUGAAAUGCGUAGAUAUCGGAAGGAACACCGGUGGCGAAAGCGGCGCGCUGGACCUCUUCUGACGCUGAGGCGCGAAAGCCAGGGGAGCAAACGGG